AAGAAGGGCAUCCCUCCAGUAUCAGAGUGAUGUCUGCAGAAAGUUGAGUCUCCAGUGGAUUUCCCUGUGCCAGUGGAACAACAUAAAGCCACGCAAAGCCCUUUCACGGCAAGGACAUGGAGCACGGGAGCGGAGGACGGGGCACUACAACCCCCAUAGUACGCGGAGAGGGGCAGCGGGAGGCCGCAAGGGAGGAGAGGCGCAAGGCCUUCUGGGAGAUGUAGUCCUGCGGCGGCCCUGCCCGGCUACAGCGCCGGGGGCAGCUCCCCAGGCACCUGUGUGUGCCGUGGGAGGCAGGGCGACCGCACUGUGCACCGCUCCCUGCGGGGUGUUGCAGUGCAGCUGCCUGCUGGCAGCCACACCAGGAACCGGUGGGAGAAGCAUGGGAGAAAUACCCAGAUGACCCAAAGGACUCAGUGGUCGGGAUUUGUCCAGCUGGAAGUUCAGGAGCCAUUGCUCAGAGCAGUGCAUUGUUGAGGCUCAUUGUUUCUGAAGUUGCUGCCUCUUUUUCUCUAAAGGAAUCUUUCUGUAUCCUACUGAAAGGAUUCCAUAAUAAAAUUAUUGAACUGCAAACUGGAGAGGUCUGCCUUUUGCUGGGACCUCCAAGUCUGCAGCAAUGUCAGUGCUGAGGGAGAAGGGAUGAGGUGGAUAUCCUGAGUGUGAGUUUGUGUUGGGUGAGGUGGAGAUCUGUGGCUUUUCAUUGCCGCAGGAGAGAAGAGCUCGGAUGGCACCUCAACAAGGAACUGUGAACUUUGGUAGAUGCUGUCUCGGGAGAAGCCUUGUGAAGGCAAACACAGUUAACACUGCUGACUUAUAAGAGAUGAAAAGGAAAAGGCCUCUGCUGCUUCAGCUUGUCUCUGUCUUCCUUCAUCAAGUGAUUAGUGAGGACUUUGUCUCCAUAGUUCUUAAAUGUCCUUAUAAUCAGCCUGGGCAACGUUUCUCCACAUAUACAGGAGAGUGUGAUGGAUUUCUCUGACUCUUCAUGAAGCUGAAGUACUAAGCUCUGGGACAGCACUUAGGUGUAUUCCAGAUGUCAUUCAAGUAGCUGUGGGAGGUUUAUCAGCUCUUGAGGAGACUUUCCCUUGUGUGCAUGCUUGCACCACUGAAGGCCGGCACUGUGCUGGAGGAAAAUGGAGCUCUCUGAUCUCCUGGCAUUUGCCUCUGCAGAAGUGAACAGUACAACAGUCACCCUAGCUUUACUGGCGGUAUUCGUGGUUCUUCUAUACUGGUAAGUGGUAAUGGCAAUAGGAGCCUGCUUAAGUUCUCUCAACAUCUACAGAGACUUCCUAUUUUUAAGAUGAAACUAGAAGAUAGCUGGCUGGAAGAGGUGCAAAGGGCAUGCUGGUUUGGAUGUGGAGGUUGAAAUACAAACUUACGAAACUCACAUUGCUUUUUACAGAGUUCUGUCCUUGCAAUACUUUCUUUUGAGUGCUUUAUCAACAAAUGCUCACUGAAAUUGUUGUAAAAAUUGAGGACUUAACUACUGUUGGUUUCUUAUUAAUUUCUGUAGGCUGCAGGAGCACUGAUGCUGGUCACUAAAGAAAUUGAGUUCUUUUCACAGGGUCUUGUUGGACCCUUCUUUGCAUUGUGCUGCACACUUGACCUUUGCCAGGUUUCUUGGUUUAAAUUUACAGACACUUUAUCUGUUGCUUGAAUUUUUUCUCUUUUUCUUUCCACACUGACUAAUGGACACAAAACAGAAUAACAGCAAUUCUAAUGUGAAGUGCAGUAGGCAUAACAAUGAGCUAUGCUGUGAUGAAGGGAAAAAGAAGUACCUACUACAACCCAGUCCAGAUAAUCUGUUUUGGAAAUUAAAGUAGCUGAUCUGGGAAUGCUGUUCUGACACUUUUCACUUGAGUACCUCAAACCUUGAGUUUUAGUCAUGUUUUUUUCUCAUUUCUAUGUGAAUUCAAGAAAUAAACAGUGAGAGAAGAAGAACUUCAGAAGAAAAUACAAAACUGAUCUAGAAAAGAAUAGCGAUGACAUCAUGAUUUCAGCACAAUUGUUCUAGUAGUGUAAAUGAUGGAUCACUUCUGUACACAUUUCUUGAUUCUUUAAUCCUGUCAAUCUUUGUUCUGCUUCCUAUCAAGGGAGAGUCUAGAGAGACUGAGAAGAGCCAAAUCAAUUCCCUCUUUGAUGUGCAUUGCCAUCUCAGGUUGGUGAGCAAGCCAGUUUUCUUCCUAAGAUCUGCACAAAUCAUCACAAAGAUCCAAGUCCCACUGCCUCUGAAUUUUAGUUGGAAAAACAAUGGAAAAACAAUUCUGGUAAAUCCAUACUGUUUAGCUGCUGACCCAUGGAUCUACAUAAACUCAAAUAGGGGAAGAGAGGCCAGAGGUAGAGCCAUGGUUCAGAAAUGCAGCACCAGGUCUGGUGAACUCUGGCAGCUUGUGAGAUGGCUAGAAGAGCUGGUGCUUCCAUGCUGUAAAUGUCAAGGUGUGCUGAGGGCUGUGAAGGCACGGAAGUGCUCUGUACAAAUGUGCUGUGUUCUGAUCCAUGCUUCUCCAGAGCCUUGCUUUGUGGUUCAUUUUAGGAAAGGCUCUUAUAAGAAAGGCCCUCCUAUAGAAAGGAAGGCAUGGAAGCUCUGAGUUGAAUUCUGUUUCAACAUAAAUGAAACAGAUUGCCCUGAUAGAGGUGAUGGAUGCCCCAUCCUUGCAAACGUCCAUGCAAGGUCAGGCUGGAGGGGGCUCCACAGAACCUGAUCUAGCU